UAUCUCUGUAGAGUCUGCAUAUCAAUAAGCGGAGGAAAAGAAACUAACAAGGAUUCCCUUAGUAACGGCGAGUGAAGCGGGAAGAGCUCAAAUUUGAAAUCUUCAAGGUUCUACCUUGACGAAUUGUAGUUUAAAGAAGUGUUUUCUGUUAGAUGAGUAGCAAAAGUUCCUUGGAAUGGGACAUCAUAGAGGGUGAGAAUCCCGUAUUUGGUUAUUCAUUCUAGCUUUGUGAUACACUUUCAAAGAGUCGGAUUGUUUGGGAAUGCAGUCCAAAAUGGGUGGUAAAUUUCAUCUAAAGCUAAAUAUUGGCGAGAGACCGAUAGCGAACAAGUACCGUGAGGGAAAGAUGAAAAGAACUUUGAAAGAGAGAGUUAAACAGUACGUGAAAUUGUCAAAAGGGAAGCGUUUGACACCAGUGUUGUUUUUCCGAAAAUCAAUUACGAAUGGCUUGAUUUUGUGUUGUAUUGACCUUAUCAGCUUUCUUCACUUUUUUCGAGUCUUUCUUAAUGCACUUUUCGGUUAACAAGUCAACAUCAAUUUCUUUUGUUGUAAAAGAGUAUUCGGAAGGUGGCUUUCUUUUCGGAGAAAGUGUUUAUAGCCCUAUACUUCUACAAUCGGAGAGAUUGAGGUCUGCAGCGUAGAUCCCUUCGGGGUUAGAUACACUUGUGCUAAGUUGUAGCUUUUCAUAGACAACUUGUUGACUAUGUUUAGUCAUGCGGCUUACUCGCUUAUGCUAUUUUACCUACGCUUAGGAUGUUGACUGAUAUGUAGUCGUA
rnacentral:rRNA from 1 species